UACGUAGGGUGCAAGCGUUGUCCGGAAUUAUUGGGCGUAAAGAGCUCGUAGGCGGUUUGUUGCGUCGGCUGUGAAAUCCCGAGGCUCAACCUCGGGUCUGCAGUCGAUACGAGCAAACUAGAGUGUUGCAGGGGAGACUGGAAUUCCUGGUGUAGCGGUGAAAUGCGCAGAUAUCAGGAGGGAACACCGGUGGCGAAGGCGGGUCUCUGGGGCCGAUACUGACGCUGAG
rnacentral:rRNA from 1 species